rnacentral:rRNA from 1 species
GUCCACGCCGUAAACGAUGGGCACUAGGUCCUUGGGGAGCGACCCCGUGAGGGCCGGCGCUAACGCAUUAAGUGCCCCGCCUGGGGAGUACGGCCGCAAGGCUGAAACUCAAAGGAAUUGACGGGGGCCCGCACAAGCGGUGGAGCAUGUGGUUUAAUUCGACGCAACGCGAAGAACCUUACCUAGGCUUGACAUGUACGAGUAAGCCGGGGGAAACCUCGGCCCCUCUUCGGAGUUCGUGCACAGGUGCUGCAUGGCUGUCGU